rnacentral:misc_RNA from 1 species
AGCAGCCGCGGUAAUUCCAGCUCCAAUAGCGUAUAUUAAAGUUGUUGCAGUUAAAAAGCUCGUAGUUGAAUUUCGGGAUCAGUACGCCGGUCGUGCCUUCGGUAUGCACUGGUGUCACUGGUUUCUCCCUUCUGAAGAACCAUCAUGCCAUUCAGUUGGUGUGGCGGGGAAUCAGGACUGUUACUUUGAAAAAUUAGAGUGUUUAAAGCAGGCUCGCGCUUGAAUACAUUAGCAUGGAAUAAUGAAAUAGGACGUUUGACCCUAUUUUGUUGGUUUCUAGGAUCGACGUAAUGAUUAAUAGGGAUAGUUGGGGGCAUUAGUAUUCAAUUGUCAGAGGUGAAAUUCUUGGAUUUAUUGAAGACUAACUACUGCGAAAGCAUUUGCCAAGGAUGUUUUCAUUAAUCAAGAACGAAAGUUAGGGGAUCGAAGACGAUCAGAUACCGUCGUAGUCUUAACCAUAAACUAUAGCCGACUAGGGAUCGGAUGAUGUUAAUUUUAAUGUACUCAUUCGGUCG